rnacentral:lncRNA from 1 species
CGGGAGUCCCCCGCGGCGGGCGGCGGCGGCGGCGUUGGCGGAAGGAGGCGGCGGUGGAGAGAAGCCGCGGCUGCCGCGGCGAUUAGCGAAAUGCGGAGGCCGUAGCGGACACCCGGCGGCUCAUCACCAAGCCGCAGAACCUGAAUGACGCCUACGGGCCGCCCAGCAACUUCCUCGAGAUCGACGUGAGCAAUCCGCAGACUGUGGGGGUCGGCCGCUUCACCACCUACGAGAUCAGGGUCAAGACCAAUCUUCCUAUCUUCAAGCUGAAGGAAUCUACUGUUAGAAGAAGAUACAGACUUUGAGUGGCUUCGAAGUGAACUAGAGAGAGAGAGCAAGGUUGUCGUUCCCCCACUCCCGGGGAAAGCAUUUUUGCGGCAGCUUCCUUUUAGAGGAGACGAUGGAAUAUUUGACGAUAAUUUCAUCGAGGAAAGGAAGCAAGGGCUGGAACAGUUCAUAAACAAGGUCGCUGGUCAUCCUCUGGCCCAGAAUGAACGUUGUCUUCACAUGUUUUUACAGGAUGAAAUCAUAGAUAAAAGCUAUACUCCAUCUAAAAUAAGACAUGCCUGAGUUUGGCAAGAAGAGGCAAACCCCAAGACCAUGAAUGAUUCGUCCGUACCAAUGAAGACGUUGUAACUAACUUAGCAUGCUGCAGACACUGCUGUAACAAACGCGCACGCCCUGGAUGUACUAACACUCACGCUCCCUUUCAUUCUGUCUGUUUGGCAAGACGUUCAUUUGCUUUAGUGGAAACUCCCUCACUUCUCCAGCCUUUCUAAGUAGCCCUUCCCACCGUGUCCCUCCGUGUGCACUGUAGCCUCAGCCCUGUAGACCUGCAGUGUUCUGACUAAAGCUGCCGACUUGCUCGAAUUUGCAGUUUCUGUGUCGUGUGCUUCUUGAAUCUGAUUGACUAGGAUAUUUCUCCCCACCCCUGAUGUGUGAUGUCACCACUUGGUCCUAAUUUAUGUGCAGGAGCACGACACCAUUUGUCUCCAGUGCCACACAUACGAGGUGUACUUUGUGUGCAGAAUGUGUCUUCCUUCUGGCCUGUAAUCCCCUUCACAUGAGAGAUUAAUGAGGGAAAUCUUUAUAUUCUGUAUAAAACAAAAUCAAAUUUAUAUACUAAAAUCAUUUGUCUAAAAUUUAAGUUGUUUUCAAAUAAAAGUUGAAAUGC